AUUGAACGCUGGCGGCAUGCUUUACACAUGCAAGUCGAACGGCAGCGCGGGCUUCGGCCUGGCGGCGAGUGGCCAACGGGUGAGUAAUGCAUCGGAACGUGCCCAGUAGUGGGGGAUAGCCCGGCGAAAGCCGGAUUAAUACCGCAUACGACCUGAGGGUGAAAGCGGGGGACCGAAAGGCCUCGCGCUAUUGGCGCGGCCGAUGUCGGAUUAGCUAGUUGGUGGGGUAAAGGCUUACCAAGGCGACGAUCCGUAGCUGGUCUGAGAGGACGACCAGCCACACUGGGACUGAGACACGGCCCAGACUCCUACGGGAGGCAGCAGUGGGGAAUUUUGGACAAUGGGGGCAACCCUGAUCCAGCCAUGCCGCGUGCGGGAAGAAGGCCUUCGGGUUGUAAAACGCUUUUGUUCGGGAAGAAAUCCUCUGGGCUAAUACCCCGGGGGGAUGACGGUACCGGAAGAAUAAGCACCGGCUAACUACGUG
rnacentral:rRNA from 1 species